CCAGACCCCGCCUCCGCCCAUACCCACGCCCACAUGCUGGCCUAGGCCACGCCCCCGCGCCCUUAGGCCCGCCUCUUCCGUAGCUCCCUCAGCCCUCCAAGCCGAGCAGCUGCCGGUGCCGAGUCUAUUUCUGGUACCUUGGUGGACGCGGGUUGGCCCCACGCAGGUCUGAUCUCGUGCCUUCUCUCACAUCGUGCCACAUACCUAGGUUAAAAGUGAGACUCCAAGGCGCGCGUGGUGACGCAUACCUAUAAUUUAGGUACGCUGGGAGACCGAGGCAAGUGGAUCACUAGUUCUAACCCAGGGGGGCAGUUUAGCAGUUUAGCGAGAUCCUGUCUCUCAAAACCAAAUAAAAAAGGGCGGAAAAAAUAGCUCAGUGCAAAGGCCCUGGGUUCAAUCCCCACCGUGUGUGGGGGGGUGAAUCCAUCGUGCAUUCAUUACUCGCUCUAAUGUCCAGGGCAUCCGCUGAGUCGGAACUGCGACCCAAAGGCUUAGGUUCGGUACGAUCUGUUUCUGGAGAGGAUGGGUUCUGAAAGGGAGAGCAACCUUGCGCUGGCCGGUUCGGGCGGUGCGGGCUCUUGGGUGCAGGGAGUGGACCGUCCCCUCCAGUUUGCCAGGCGUCCAUCGGGUAUGUGGGAACCGGUCCAUUGAAACCGAGAGGCUCGGGCUCCCUUGGCUGGCGAGGACCCCGGAGCGGGAGCCUGCGGUACUGGAGAUGCAGCGCGGGGCGCGGAUGGACCUCGGCCCUUGCCUGGCCUUUGGGGUCUGUGCCCUUGGACCCACCGCUCCCGGGUCCUGCGUGACCUGCUACAGCUUCGCCACCUGGUGGCAGCGAGAGGCGUCACAGACGGGCCAAGGGCGAGCUGCCCCAGGACCGCUCAGUGGGGGACCAUGCCCUAAAGAAAAACAAUGGAACUUGCUACGACUCCAGUGCUGUUGCGAUGAUCGCACGCGCGAUGCGGCCACGUCCAUCUCGUUUUCAGCCUUAAAGAGCUGCAGGAGUAGAGUCAGGAACUGUCUGGCCCUGAAGCCUUUCGAGAAGAGCUGGUAAGGGACAGAUCACCCACUGUGAUGGCAGAGAAGGGGGCAUGUUCGUCAGCCCUGGACUUGGCCUGGUACUCCUGCUCUGCACUGAGGUACUAGAGGAAUAUGCACGCUUCACUGCUCUGGCUUUCAAAGGAAGCAGGAAGACCCCCGAGUUUUCUGCAGCAAAUCCAGGGACACAAACAGAGUGGGGCAGGGUUGGGGGCCUAGCACCCUCCCAUACUGCUCUUAAGGAAGAAAUACAAAGAAGUUGGGGUCCCCUUGGUGCCUGGCUGGGCAGGACUGUGAGAAGCAAACAGCAGCUAUCAGCAGCCCCUUUGAUGCUCUGGAAGCUUUCUGUGGCAGGAAUGUUGAAACCUCCAUCUUCCAAACACUCUUCUGGGAAAGAGGGCGAUGACCUCUCAAAGGAAGGACAGAGUAUGCAUCCUUCAUUUACCCACUGCCCUGUUCUGGGCGGGGCCUUAUUUUAAACUGGCCUCCUGAUUACCUUUCAUGUUGUGGUGGAUUGAUAACUGGUGGUCAACUUGUGACAUCAGCUAAACUGAAUCAGUGUGGUGCUGAGCUUGGAGGGCCCACCUGGGGAUUGUUGCCAAUAUAAAGAGAACUGGAGAGGAAGAGAUAGUGGUGGUGGUUCUUCUGGGUGUUGUGGGUUGUCCUGGAGUUUCUUGUGCUUCUUUCCUCAUACGAACUCGACUGUUGCCAUGGUCAGAGGAGCUUGGGCCUUGUCACUGAGAAUGGCUAUGGUUCACUUUGGGGGAGCCCUGGUCCUUUGAGCAUCACUUUCUGGCUCCAGUGUAGAUCCCUCAGCCUGCUAUCACAGAUCCUGCACCCUGCCAGCACAGACUUUCUGGCUUCUACUGCUGACCUUUGGCCUUCCUGGUGCAGAUCCAUGAUACAAAUUUGCAUGAGAGAUUGCCACGGGUUCCAAGUCUUCAGCUGGAUUCAUGCAGGACAUUGCCAUGAGAUCCAGGCCAUCAGCUGGAUUCCUUGGGUCUUAGUGUGAGGACAGAUUUCCUGCACUUUCUGUGUUUGACUCUUUGGGUGACCAUUAUAAAAUAAUUGCAUAAAUUA